rnacentral:rRNA from 1 species
CAGUCGCCGCGGUAAUACAGAGGGUGCGAGCGUUAAUCGGAUUUACUGGGCGUAAAGCGUGCGUAGGCGGCUUUUUAAGUCGGAUGUGAAAUCCCUGAGCUUAACUUAGGAAUUGCAUUCGAUACUGGGAAGCUAGAGUAUGGGAGAGGAUGGUAGAAUUCCAGGUGUAGCGGUGAAAUGCGUAGAGAUCUGGAGGAAUACCGAUAACGAAGGCAGCCAUCUGGCCUAAUACUGACGCUGAGGUACGAAAGCAUGGGGAGCAAACAGGAUUAGAUACCCCGGUAGUCCCUGUCUCUUAUAC